GGAAUUUUCCGCAAUGGGCGAAAGCCUGACGGAGCAACGCCGCGUGAGUGAUGAAGGUCUUCGGAUCGUAAAACUCUGUUAUUAGGGAAGAACAAUCUUGACGGUACCUAAUCAGAAAGCCACGGCUAACUACGUGCCAGCAGCCGCGGUAAUACGUAGGUGGCAAGCGUUAUCCGGAAUUAUUGGGCGUAAAGCGCGCGUAGGCGGGUUUUUAAGUCUGAUGUGAAAGCCCACGGCUCAACCGUGGAGGGUCAUUGGAAACUGGAAAACUUGAGUGCAGAAGAGGAAAGUGGAAUUCCAUGUGUAGCGGUGAAAUGCGCAGAGAUAUGGAGGAACACCAGUGGCGAAGGCGACUUUCUGGUCUGUAACUGACGCUGAUGUGCGAAAGCGUGGGGAUCAAACAGGAUUAGAUACCCCAGUAGUC
rnacentral:rRNA from 1 species